GACGAACGCUGGCGGCGUGCUUAACACAUGCAAGUCGAACGGAAAGGCCCUGCUUUUGUGGGGUGCUCGAGUGGCGAACGGCUGAGUAACACGUGAGUAACCUGCCCUUGACUUUGGGAUAACUUCAGGAAACUGGGGCUAAUACCGGAUAGGAGCUCCUGCUGCAUGGUGGGGGUUGGAAAGUUUCGGCGGUUGGGGAUGGACUCGCGGCUUAUCAGCUUGUUGGUGGGGUAGUGGCUUACCAAGGCUUUGACGGGUAGCCGGCCUGAGAGGGUGACCGGCCACAUUGGGACUGAGAUACGGCCCAGACUCCUACGGGAGGCAGCAGUGGGGAAUAUUGCACAAUGGGCGGAAGCCUGGUGCAGCAACGCCGCGUGCGGGAUGACGGCCUUCGGGUUGUAAACCGCUUUCGCCUGUGACGAAGCGUGAGUGACGGUAAUGGGUAAAGAAGCACCGGCUAACUACGUG
rnacentral:rRNA from 1 species